AAUGGCUGCAGUAAUAUAACUGUACAAAGGUAGCAUAAUCAUUAGUUUUUUAAUUAAAAGCUUGUAUGAAAGGUUGGACGAAGUAAAAUCUGUCUCUUUUUAAUGUAAUUAGAAUUUAAUUUUUAAGUAAAAAAGCUUAAAUUUUUUUAAAAGACGAGAAGACCCUAUAGAGUUUAAUAAUUUAUUUUAAAUAAUUAAUUUAGAUUUAUUUAUUUUAUUUAUUUUAAAAUUAUUUUAUUGGGGUAAUAGAAAGAUUAAUAUAAUUCUUUUUUUUUAUUUACAUUAAUAUAUGAAUUAAAUGAUCCAUUUUUUAUGAUUAAAAGAUUAAAUUACCUUAGGGAUAACAGCGUAAUUUUUUUAAAGAGUUCAUAUCGAUAAAAAAGUUUGCGACCUCGAUGUUGGAUUAAAGAUUAAUUUAGGUGUAGAAGUUUAAAUUUUUGGUCUGUUCGACCAUUAAAUCUUUACAUGAUCUGAGUUCAAACCGGUGUAAGCCAGGUUGGUUUCUAUCUUUAAAGAAUUUUUAUAUUUUAGUACGAAAGGACCAGAUAUUUAAUAUAUUAAAUAUUUAAUUAUUUUGAAUAU
rnacentral:rRNA from 1 species